CAAUAGCGUAUAUUAACGUUGUUGCAGUUAAAAAGCUCGUAGUUGGAUUUCUGGAGGGAGCGUCGGCCCGUAUUUACGAGUGCGUGACGUCUCUGUCCAUCCUUGCGGGAAGGAACGGCAUUGAUUUGUUGUGUCGGAUCGCAUCAUUUACUGUGAAAAAAUUAGAGUGUUCAAAGCAGGCUUUCGCUUGAAUACAUUAGCAUGGAAUAAUAAGAUAGGACUUUGGUGCUAUUUUGUUGGUUGAGCCUAAAGUAAUGAUUAAUAGGGAUAGUUGGGGGCACCUGUAUUGCGUUGUCAGAGGUGAAAUUCUUGGAUUUACGCAAGACAAACAGCUGCGAAAGCGUCUGCCAAGGAUGUUUUCAUUAA
rnacentral:rRNA from 1 species